AUUGCUGGCUUGUGUCUCAUCCCUUCCACCCCGACCUCUCGUCUCUCUUGUUCAAUUCCCACCCCCGACCUCUCCGCGAUACAAGUUGCGCCGCCCUCGUCUCCAGCCGACUGCCUCCUCAUCUUUGCCCAGCCGUCGCCCUCUUAUUUACCCUUAAGAUUUCAUCAGGGAGGGGAUCCUCUCUCAGAUCUGUUGAGGCUCUACACCACUAAGGACUGAACCAGAUUUUUACGCCUUGUCGCGCCAUCUCUGGAUCCAACCUCGUUCGAGCACCCAGGCGCCGGUAAUGCCGAGCUCCUGGAUCCACAACCCAAAACCAAGCUUAUUCUUUUGGAUCCACGAUGCAAGGACCUCCUCCAGGCGGCUCAGAGGGAGUGAGAUGGACACGACAAGAAGAUGCGUUGUCAUCAUCAAUUUUUUCUCUCCCGAGACACCAGUGGCCCGUGGCCUGGUUACCACGAUGAGGUUCCAAUAGUCCACGGGGAUCCAGCGACACACGCUCAGAGGAGCGGCCGGUCUGCGUCCAUCCAGCCAUAAUGCGAGGCGGGAUUCGGCCAAGACGAGGCUCGCGCUGUGAUCGACUGGAGGCGCAGUUCCGGCUUCAGUCGAUGCGCUCGAGGGCUCGUGGUGAAACUACUCCGUCUUCGCCCAGUCGCCUCCCUUCUCCAACCUCCACAGCUCGUUCUCGUGUCUUUCUUCAGGCAGGUGAGAUCCGGGUUCCCCUUCUGGUCUCUUAGAUUUUUUGAUGUUGCUGUGAUACGUUGGCCAGGUGUACAGGUUGCUCUCCUGGUCUUCCCUUGAUUUCUUCAGCCAAGUGAGCUCUUGUUGUACCUGCCGCACAGUGUCUGUACAAAACAAGCUUGACGAUUAAGCGAGCUAGGGGCGAGUCAGUGUCAAAACGUGCAUUCAUGGCCUAGCAGUUUUUCUGAACUUUGACACUUCAAAACGUGUUGAACCCUUCUCCUUGUGUUCAGAGUACUAACAAAAGUCCUACUGGAAAUAUGACGAUGGCAAACCCCGAUUUCAGAAGAAUUAUGGAAAGGAAGUGUUGAGCAUAAAAAUGCGAUCUACUAUAGUGGUGCUUGGCUCAAAGGCCUUGGUACACGUGCCAUCUGCACAUGCUUCGCCUGAUUGCAGCGGUUGGAAAUCUGGGGUAACCCGACAAAUAAUCAAAUUUGAGUAUGUGAAAUGAAGCAGAAGCUAAGUGUUCCACUGAUAAUAGAAAUGUCCAUUUAUGCUUAUGUAAAGAUAUUUUUAUUAUUCUACCGAAUUCCACAGUAGGAUAUCCCAUUUAUGGUAUGUAGAAUAUCAAUUACUACUUGAUUUCCUAACUAAGUGAAAUCCUUGUUAGCAUUCUUCUUGGUGAGUGUGGCACACUCCACACAUGAAAUGUCUAGGCGCACCAGGCCUGCCUAAUUCUUCUUUGUGGCAGAACAUCGCGCCCCUUUGGGUAGAGAGGCAUCUGGACAUUUCAUUAAUGCAUCAUGUAUACAAUCUAUAAUGACUAUUUAUGUCUCCUGUUGCAUGUUUAUUUUUGCCGCGGCUUAUUAUCUGUCUUGGCACUAUGGAUUGGUUUUAUUUACUGAAUACAUGGAUUUGUAUGUUGUCAUCCCAUGCCAAUUUGUGUAGGUGAACCUUACUUUUUUAUCUUAGUAUAUAUGUGAACUUCAUUAAUUAUUGACUAA